rnacentral:piRNA from 1 species
UCGUGUGCAAUGUUAUUCUUCCUUUUCC